GACGAACGCUGGCGGCGUGCUUAACACAUGCAAGUCGAACGGAAAGGCCCUGCUUUUGUGGGGUGCUCGAGUGGCGAACGGGUGAGUAACACGUGAGUAACCUGCCCUUGACUUUGGGAUAACUUCAGGAAACUGGGGCUAAUACCGGAUAGGAGCUCCUGCCGCAUGGUGGGGGUUGGAAAGUUUCGGCGGUUGGGGAUGGACUCGCGGCUUAUCAGCCUGUUGGUGGGGUAGUGGCUUACCAAGGCUUUGACAGGUAGCCGGCCUGAGAGGGUGACCGGCAACAUUGGGACUGAGAUACGGCCCAGACUCCUACGGGAGACAGCAGUGGGGAAUAUUGCACAAUGGGCGGAAGCCUGAUGCAGCAACGCCGCGUGCGGGAUAACGGCCUUCGGGUUGUAAACCGCUUUCGCCUGUGACGAAGCGUGAGUGACGGUAAUGGGUAAAGAAGCACCGGCUAACUACGUG
rnacentral:rRNA from 1 species